GUCAGGUUGGUGGAGUGGUCUAACACGUACGACUCAAGUUCGUAUCUCGCAAGAGGCGUGGGUUCGAAUCCCACAUCUGACA
rnacentral:tRNA from 1 species